rnacentral:rRNA from 1 species
CCUACGGGAGGCAGCAGUGAGAAAUAUUGGUCAAUGGCCGGAAGGCUGAACCAGCCAUGCCGCGUGAAGGUCAGUGCCCUAUGGGCGUUAAACUUCUUUUGUGCGGGAGCAAUAAUGGUCACGUGUGGCCAGACGAGAGUACCGUACGAAUAAGCAUCGGCUAACUCCGUGCCAGCAGCCGCGGUAAUACGGGGGAUGCAAGCGUUAUCCGGAUUUAUUGGGGUUAAAGGGUGCGUAGGCUGUGAGGUAAGUCAGCGGUGAAAUGCCCCCGCUCAACGGGGUGAAGUGCCAUUGAUACUGCCUUGCUGGAAUGCGGAUGCCGUGGGAGGAAUGUGUGGUGUAGCGGUGAAAUGCAUAGAUAUCACACAGAACACCGAUUGCGAAGGCAUCUCACGAAUCCGCGAUUGACGCUGAUGCACGAAAGCGUGGGUAUCAAACAGGAUUAGAUACCCCAGUAGUC